rnacentral:rRNA from 1 species
UACGUAGGGUGCAAGCGUUGUCCGGAAUUAUUGGGCGUAAAGAGCUCGUAGGCGGCCUGUCGCGUCGGAUGUGAAAGCCCGGGGCUUAACCCCGGGUCUGCAUUCGAUACGGGCAGGCUAGAGUGUGGUAGGGGAGAUCGGAAUUCCUGGUGUAGCGGUGAAAUGCGCAGAUAUCAGGAGGAACACCGAUGGCGAAGGCAGGUCUCUGGGCUGACACUGACGCUCAUGCACGAAAGCGUGGGGAGCAAACAGG